rnacentral:rRNA from 1 species
GUGAUAUGAACCGUUAUAACCGGCGAUACCCGAAUGGGGAAACCCAGUGUGACUCGUCACACUAUCAUUAACUGAAUCCAUAGGUUAAUGAGGCGAACCGGGGGAACUGAAACAUCUAAGUACCCCGAGGAAAAGAAAUCAACCGAGAUUCCCCCAGUAGCGGCGAGCGAACGGGGAGGAGCCCAGAGCCUGAAUCAGCAUGUGUGUUAGUGGAAGCGUCUGGAAAGGCGCGCGAUACAGGGUGACAGCCCCGUACACAAAAGCGCAUGUGCUGUGAGCUCGAUGAGUAGGGCGGGACACGUGGUAUCCUGUCUGAAUAUGGGGGGACCAUCCUCCAAGGCUAAAUACUCCUGACUGACCGAUAGUGAACCAGUACCGUGAGGGAAAGGCGAAAAGAACCCCGGCGAGGGGAGUGAAAAAGAACCUGAAACCGUGUACGUACAAGCAGUGGGAGCACAGGUUUACCUGUGUGACUGCGUACCUUUUGUAUAAUGGGUCAGCGACUUAUAUUCUGUAGCAAGGUUAACCGAAUAGGGGAGCCGUAGGGAAACCGAGUCUUAAU